GACUCAGGAAGCUCAUCAGCGGGGCCACACUCUGAGUGCUCCUCACUCCUGGCACCCCCCUGGGAAGGUCUGAGACUGGGGCCUCCCGCGGCCCUAACCAGGCUCUCCCCUAGAGCAGGGAGGUGAGUUCCCAGAGAGCAGGACUCCACGCGUGGGCAGACUGGGCAGGAAGGCCCCCCGAGCAGUUUGUGGUUCUUUAUUGCUACUCUUAGCAUUUUCAGGUCUUGAGAAGUU
rnacentral:lncRNA from 1 species